GUUAAGCGACUAAGCGUACACGGUGGAUGCCCUGGCAGUCAGAGGCGAUGAAGGACGUGCUAAUCUGCGAUAAGCGUCGGUAAGGUGAUAUGAACCGUUAUAACCGGCGAUUUCCGAAUGGGGAAACCCAGUGUGUUUCGACACACUAUCAUUAACUGAAUCCAUAGGUUAAUGAGGCGAACCGGGGGAACUGAAACAUCUAAGUACCCCGAGGAAAAGAAAUCAACCGAGAUUCCCCCAGUAGCGGCGAGCGAACGGGGAGCAGCCCAGAGCCUGAAUCAGUGUGUGUGUUAGUGGAAGCGUCUGGAAAGGCGCGCGAUACAGGGUGACAGCCCCGUACACAAAAAUGCACAUGCUGUGAGCUCGAUGAGUAGGGCGGGACACGUGGUAUCCUGUCUGAAUAUGGGGGGACCAUCCUCCAAGGCUAAAUACUCCUGACUGACCGAUAGUGAACCAGUACCGUGAGGGAAAGGCGAAAAGAACCCCGGCGAGGGGAGUGAAAAAGAACCUGAAACCGUGUACGUACAAGCAGUGGGAGCACGCUUAGGCGUGUGACUGCGUACCUUUUGUAUAAUGGGUCAGCGACUUAUAUUCUGUAGCAAGGUUAACCGAAUAGGGGAGCCGAAGGGAAACCGAGUCUUAACUGGGCGUUAAGUUGCAGGGUAUAGACCCGAAACCCGGUGAUCUAGCCAUGGGCAGGUUGAAGGUUGGGUAACACUAACUGGAGGACCGAACCGACUAAUGUUGAAAAAUUAGCGGAUGACUUGUGGCUGGGGGUGAAAGGCCAAUCAAACCGGGAGAUAGCUGGUUCUCCCCGAAAGCUAUUUAGGUAGCGCCUCGUGAAUUCAUCUCCGGGGGUAGAGCACUGUUUCGGCAAGGGGGUCAUCCCGACUUACCAACCCGAUGCAAACUGCGAAUACCGGAGAAUGUUAUCACGGGAGACACACGGCGGGUGCUAACGUCCGUCGUGAAGAGGGAAACAACCCAGACCGCCAGCUAAGGUCCCAAAGUCAUGGUUAAGUGGGAAACGAUGUGGGAAGGCCCAGACAGCCAGGAUGUUGGCUUAGAAGCAGCCAUCAUUUAAAGAAAGCGUAAUAGCUCACUGGUCGAGUCGGCCUGCGCGGAAGAUGUAACGGGGCUAAACCAUGCACCGAAGCUGCGGCAGCGACGCUUAUGCGUUGUUGGGUAGGGGAGCGUUCUGUAAGCCUG
rnacentral:rRNA from 1 species